rnacentral:rRNA from 1 species
AUUGAACGCUGGCGGCAGGCCUAACACAUGCACGUCGAGCGAGCGCCGGCCGGGUGAGUAAUGUCUGGGAAACUGCCUGAUGGAGGGGGAUAUCACUUGGAAACGGUAGCUAAUACCGCAUACCAUCAGAUGUGCCCAGAUGGGAUUAGCUAGUAGGUGGGGUAACGGCUCACCUAGGCGACGAUCCCUAGCUGGUCUGAGAGGAUGACCAGCAACACUGGAACUGAGGCACGGUCCAGACUCCUACGGGAGGCAGCAGUGGGGAAUAUUGCAAAAUGGGCGCAAGCCUGAGGCAGCCAUGCCGCGUGUGUGAAGAAGGCCUGCGGGUUGUAAAGCACUUUCAGCGGGGAGGCGUUACCCGCAGAAGAAGCACCGGCUAACUCCGUGCCAGCAGCCGCGGUAAUUC